rnacentral:lncRNA from 1 species
CCUAGCCUGGGAACUUCCAUAUGCCUUGGGUGUGGCCCUAAAAAAAAAAAAAAAAAAAUUCCUAAGUUCCAUAUAACAUCAUGUGAACAUUAUCAGUGGGAAUGAUUUCCACUGCUUUGUUGGGUUGAGGCUCAUUCACUCUGAUUCUCAAAUGACAAAAAUUAUUUUCUAGGAGAUGGAACUAAAAGGCUCUGACCUAGAAACGUGGUGUGAUUUCUGGGGUGCAAGCCAGUCCCGAAUGCCAGUCCCAUCUCUGACAGAAAGCAGAACCAUUGGUCUGUCUGGAGGGAGAGAAUUCAGAGUUGAAUUAUUUACUUUAAAAUUUCAGUCAUUGGCAGGAGUUCCCGUUAUGGCGCAGUGGAGACAAAUCCAACUAGGAACCAUGAGGUGCAGGUUCGAUCCCUGGCCUCCUGGGUUAAGGAUCUGGCGUUGCUGUGAGCUGUGGUGUAGGUUGUCGAAGACAUGGCUUGGAUCCCAAGUUGUUGUAGCUGUGGUGUAGGCUGGCAGCUACAACUCCGAUUAGAUCCCUAGGCUGGGAACCUCCAUAUGCUGUGGUUGUGGCCAUAAAAAGCAAAAAGCAAAAUAAUAAUAAUAAUAAUAACAAUAAGAUGCCAGUCAUUGGCAGAACUAAACUUUUCUGGUACAUAUCUCUCUGAAAAAAAAUUUUUUUUUUGUCUUUUGUCUUUUUAGGGCAAAACCCAUGACAUAUGGAGGUUCCCAGGCUAGGGAUCCAAUCACAGCUGUUGCUGUCAGCCUACGCCACAGCCACAGCAACGCCAGAUCUGAGCCGUGUCUGCGACCUACACCACAGCUCACGGCAAUGCCAGAUCCUUAACCCACUGAGCGAGGCGAGGGAUCGAACCCGCGACCUUAUGGUUCCUAGUCAGAUUUGUUUCCUCUUUGCCACUAGAGGAACUCCUCUCUCUGAAAUUUAUAUUAAAAAAUUGAGAAUUUUUAUAGAACGCAAAGUUCUUUUUCUGUUCUGAGAAUUCACUUUAAUGAAUGUAUUGAAAAAAUGACUGACUAUAUAUUCAGGAAAAACACAGUGUGUAAGAGCCUGAGUAACCCUGUCAUUUCUUUGAAGACGUGUAAUCUAUGCCUUUAUGUCUCUGUGUGGUAUACUGGGUUUGUUCUGCUCCUAAUGGUGGCUUCCUUCCACCCCUUUACUGAGUUGAACAGCUCAAGCUCAGGCAUAAAAGCUCUCUUGAACCACUUUCAUCUUGCUUCUCAGAUUUAUUUUCUUCAUCCUUUUCAUUCAGGCCAGUUCUCUUUCUUUUUUUUCCCCUUAGCCUUCUAUGUUAACUGCCCCAUCUGAGUCCUUACAGGAUCAUCUCUUCUCCUUUCAAUCUGGUCCAUUCCUGCUCCCCUUUGCUCUUUGUUCUAUUCUGCUAUCGCAAUCUUAGAAAUGUUUUUACAGGAGUUUCUGUUGUGGCUCAGUGUUAACAAACCCCACUAGUAUUCAUAAGGAUGCGGGUUCAAUCCCUGGCCUCGCUCAGUGGCUUAAGGAUCUGGCAUUGCCGUGAGCUGUGGUGUAGGUCACAGACACGGCUUGGGUGCUGCUUUGCUAUGGCUGUGGUGUAGGCCAGCAGCUGUGGCUCCAAUUUGACCCCUAGCCUGGGGGCUUCCAGGUGCCACAGGUGCACCCCUAAAAAGACCAAAAAGAAAAAGAAAUGUUUUCACAUAUUCCAGCUUUUAUUCAGUUAACAAGUAAUUGAGUGCUGAGUCUGAGCUUGGAACUGUACACGCUAGCAGUCACCAGUGAGAAAGACAGACAUUCCCAGCCCUCAUGGAGGUUACAGUCUAGCAGGAAGGACUUAUAUUAAAUGAAUAACUGAAAACAAAAAAAUUAGUGUGAAGUACCAAGAAGGAGAAGGAGGCUCAUUGAUCUCUUCUAAAGGGAAGGCUUUGUCUAGUCUGGGCAAUUGGAAGGCUUCUUUCAGGAAGCUGUGUUUCAUCUGAGCCCUGAAGGAAGAACAAGAGUGGCUAGGUCUGGUGGGAGAGGCUGUUCAUCAGGGAGCAGUCCAAGCAGCAAAGACCAGUGAAGGAGGCCCCACAUGGAGAGGAACAUGACCUAUUUAAGGAAUUGAAAGAAUGCCCUAUUUUUUUUUCCCACAACUGAGACGGUUGUCCUCCAGUAAUGUGGGUCAGGGGACAUCUUUUCUCUUGCAGUACCACUUUUAAUUGCUACAUGUCACAUCUGCCUGCUCCAGGCAAACCCCAUCAGGUUUCCAAUAUACAUUUGAAAUUACUCAGCCUCUUGUUUACUAGAAAUAAAGGAAACCAAUUUCUUCUCUCUGGGUAUCUUCCCCAGAGAGAUACAGCGUCUCAUCGUUAGAGGAGAUGAGGUAAACAUUCUCUCAUACAGGAACUAAUUGGGUGGUGGUGAAUAGUUACAUGUUCCUGCUGGUGAGUAGGAUCUUUGUUCAUGGUCUUGCUUCCUGCUGGGAUGACAUAGUAAGAUAAAUAUGGCUGUAGCUGGAGUGGAACUCAGCCAGGGAUGAAGCCUUGAGUUCUCAAGGAGACUGGGCAGACCCAGGGUCUGUGGAGAGCACCUGCUGAGUCUUAUUGGUGAAAAUGCUAGAGGCUGGUGAGGUCCCUGCAGAUGUUCUCUGUGGACCGAAGCUGCUGAUGCAGAGAAGAAAGAGCUGGGCCUGCCCAUCCCUGAGACAGCCUGAUAACAGUGGACAACAGUACUGAUUGGUCUGAAUUGCUCCUCUUCCAGGCUGAGGGGAGAGAACUGAUCUUUCUCAUACUUUGAGAAACCUGAGAGCCCAGGACGUUCACUCCCUUACCUCUCACUGCCUGCCAAUCUCCCAACCCCGAACUGAAAGAGAGCACGAAGUACUCAAGAACAUCCAGCACCCAUGGAGUUCCCUGGUGGUUGGGGGGUUAAGGAUCCAGUAUUGUCACUGCUGUGG